CAGGAAGUAUUACUUUACUGAGAGGGUAGUUGGUGCAUGCAAUAGUCUUCCAGCUGAAGAGGUUAACACCGUAAAGGAGUUUAAGAAUGCAUGGGAUAGGCAUAAGGCGAUCCUAACUAUAAGAUAAGGCCAGGGAAUAAUGAAAGUAUUUAGAAAAUUGGGCAGACUAGAUGGGCCGAAUGGUUCUUAUCUACCGUCACAUUCUAUGUUUCCAACAUCCAGGAACAACAGUGAACUGUCC